rnacentral:tRNA from 1 species
GUCCCGUUGGUCCAAUGGACACGACGCGAGUCUACGAAACUCGAAAUUCCGGUUCAAAUCCGGAGCGGGAUACCA